CUACGGGGGGCUGCAGUAAGGAAUAUUGGUCAAUGGACGCAAGUCUGAACCAGCCAUGCCGCGUGGAGGAUGAAGGUCCUCUGGAUUGUAAACUUCUUUUCUCUGGGACGAAACCCCCGAUUUCCAUCGGGCCUGACGGUACCAGAGGAAUAAGCACCGGCUAACUCCGUGCCAGCAGCCGCGGUAAUACGGAGGGUGCAAGCGUUAUCCGGAUUCACUGGGUUUAAAGGGUGCGUAGGCGGGUUUGUAAGUCAGUGGUGAAAUCCCCGAGCUUAACUUGGGAACUGCCAUUGAUACUGCAGAUCUUGAAUUUUCUGGAGGUAAGCGGAAUAUGUCAUGUAGCGGUGAAAUGCUUAGAUAUGACAUAGAACACCCAUUGCGAAGGCAGCUUACUACGGGAAUAUUGACGCUGAGGCACGAAAGCGUGGGGAUCAAACAGGAUUAGAUACCCGAGUAGUC
rnacentral:rRNA from 1 species